ACGGAGGGUGCAAGCGUUGUCCGGAAUUACUGGGCGUAAAGCGUGCGCAGGCGGUUUCACAAGCUCGAUGUGAAAGCCCCGGGCUUAACCUGGGAAUGGCAUUGAGGACUGUGGAGCUUGAGUGCGGCAGAGGGAGGUGGAAUUCCACGUGUAGCAGUGAAAUGCGUAGAGAUGUGGAGGAACACCGAUGGCGAAGGCAGCCUCCUGGGCCGACACUGACGCUCAUGCACGAAAGCGUGGGGAGCAAACAGGA
rnacentral:rRNA from 1 species